UACGGAGGAUGCGAGCGUUAUCCGGAUUUGAUUGGGUUUAAAGGGUGCGCAGGCGGUCUGUUAAGUCAGCGGUCAAAGCCCGGGGCUCAACCCCGGCCCGCCGUUGAAACUGGCAGUCUCGAGUUGGAGAGAAGUAUGCGGAAUGCGCGGUGUAGCGGUGAAAUGCAUAGAUAUCGCGCAGAACUCCGAUUGCGAAGGCAGCAUGCCGGCUCCACACUGACGCUGAGGCACGAAGCGUGGGUAUCGAACAGG
rnacentral:rRNA from 1 species